rnacentral:lncRNA from 1 species
GUCAUGGAGCUUGCUGUCACAGAGACCAACAGUCCUGGCCAUUUGGGGUGAUUGCAGGUACAGCAGAUUCUCUUCUAUGAAGACUCGGUUGCAGCCCACCUUUCUAAAAUCCUCACCUCGGACCAGCACUCGGUGGUCAUCUCCUCGGCCAAAGUGCUCUGUGAGACGGUGAAGGACUUCGUGGCACGGGUGGGGAAGGCCUAUGAGAAGACGACCGAGAGCUCGGAGGAGUCAGAGGUCAUGGCCAAGAAGUGCUCUGUCCUGAAAGAGAAGCUGGAUUCCCUUCUCAAGACCUUGGACGAUGAGUCCCAGGCCUCGUCCU